AACGAACGCUGGCGGCAGGCUUAACACAUGCAAGUCGAGCGCCCCGCAAGGGGAGCGGCAGACGGGUGAGUAACGCGUGGGAAUCUACCCAUCUCUACGGAAUAACGCAUGGAAACGUGUGCUAAUACCGUAUACGUCCUUCGGGAGAAAGAUUUAUCGGAGAUGGAUGAGCCCGCGUUGGAUUAGCUAGUUGGUGGGUUAAAGGCCUACCAAGGCGACGAUCGAUAGCUGGUCUGAGAGGAUGAGCAGCCACACUGGGACUGAGACACGGCCGAGACUCCUACGGGUGGCAGCAGUGGGUGAUAUUGGACAAUGGGCGCUAGCCUGAUCCAGCCAUGCCGCGUGAGUGAUGAAGGCCCUAGGGUUGUAAAGCUCUUUCACCGGUGAAGAUAAUGACGGUAACCGGAGAAGACGCCGCGGCUAACUUCGUGCCAGCCGCCGCAGUAACAC
rnacentral:rRNA from 1 species